UACGUAGGUGGCGAGCGUUGUCCGGAUUUACUGGGCGUAAAGGGCGUGCAGGCGGUUUGUUAAGUGCAGGGUGAAAGCUCCCGGCUCAACUGGGAGAGGUUCUUGCAUACUGGCGAACUCGAGGGAGGCAGAGGAAAGUGGAAUUCCCGGUGUAGUGGUGAUAUGCGUAGAUAUCGGGAGGAACACCUGUGGCGAAGGCGGCUUUCUGGGCCUUACCUGACGCUGAGACGCGAAAGCGUGGGGAGCGAACCGG
rnacentral:rRNA from 1 species